rnacentral:lncRNA from 1 species
AUGGGUGAGGACAAGCUCGAGGAGGCAUCGAAAAGCUAUAAGACGCUGACACAGUGGGUGCAGCAGAUGAUCAGGCAGAUCGAUGGGCUCAUCGCCCAGCUGGAGGCGGACCAGCAGGCUGGCAGGCUGGGCGCAGCUGAGACCACGCCCGUGGGGAAGAAUGUCAUCAGUGUCAGAGCUCAUCAGUGCCAUGAAACAAAUCAAGCACAUCCGGAAAACAAGCUGGUCAGCUUGGCCUCUCUAAAUGGACUCAAGCCCUGCAGGACUUUGAACCAACAAUCUUUGUUUGCAUCCCAUUUCCAUCUUUCAGAUGUGACAAAUCCAUCUCUGCCAAUCCUGGUGGUCACCUCCGCCCCAUCGUCCUGCUUUCCUGCACACUGUCUCUGUCCCUCACUGCAUGGUCUCAGAUGGGACACCCAGCCCUGUCUUCAACAAAGGCACAUGAAUGCGGUAGGCUUUGCUGAAGGGCAUCUUCAAAGAUGGGUCUGUAGCAGCUCCAUCUUUUGGGACACCCCCUUGUAAGUCAGUCCUGGGCUCUGGGGAACAGAAGGACUCAAUUAUCUCCAGGCAACUCCUCAAUGAAAGGCGUCCAUCCAGGACUGGAGCAGCAGUCCAGUAAGUGGAAAGCCUGUACAGCUGGAUCCAACCUGAGCACUGCCUACAGGCAGGAGGAAGAGACGGUGCUGGAGAACUUCCUCCAAAGCAAAACACAGCUUCCCACUCAGCAUCAGGUGCCAUGGCCUCUAAACAUCCUCAGCUCAUGCCUCCGGGUGCCCCUCGCCCCCGUCGACUCUAUCUUUGCACAUCCCUGACUCUUUCCUUAUAUUCUUUCUCCCUUUUUCUGUUAGUUUUCCCUCCCUCUCUGGAAUGACAACAGUUUUAAAAAUCUCAUUUUCUUCUGCAGAAUGGUUUUGAUCAUUCUUUCCUUCCUCUGUUCCCUGAGAUCCUGCCAAACGGUGACUACCUUCCAGGCUUCCAAGUUUGGGCACUGAAAGUCCCACAUCCCAGGAAAGCGCACAGUCCCAAGCAAACCGGAAUGCUCCAAAUUAAAGUGUUGUUCCAGCCACCUGACUGCUCAGGCUCCCUCCCAAAGGGACAGUAAGUAAAUGCUGGCUAAGAUGGUGCCUCAUCUUUCUUUUUAAUCACAAUGGGUGUUAAAUCACAUCAACUGCUGCUCAGCUUCUAUUAAAAGAAACACAAUUUAAUCUGUCCAUGAAAAAAGUUACAUUAGUAUAUUUUCUAAUGUUCAAUCAUCAUUUGUUGUUGGAAUAAGCCACAUUUGAACACGCUAAAUGUUUCUUAUGAUCUCGUGCUUGAUUUGAUAUUCUAAUAUUUUGUACGUAACGUUUGUUCCUAAAUGAGUUUUGUUCACAGUUUUCUUUUGCCACUUUUGUCUGAUGUUAGUGCCUAGAAUAGACUCGCCUUGCAAAAUGAGUCUGAGAACAUUUCCACUUUUUUCACACCUAUUUCCUUCCUGCCUGGCCUGAAUACAGGAGUGAAAAAUGAAAGAAGAAAGACAUUCCAACCUGCCAGGCAGGAAAUUUGCCUCCAGGUGAACGGCUUCAUCUUUACAUCCAACAGGUACAACAUGUUCAGGGAAAAAAUGUAUUCAAAAUGAUGGACAUCAAGAAAUAUAAUGGUGAAAUGAAGAAAAUAAUUCUUCAUGGAACUCCUGGAGGGAAAAGAAGUAUUUUCUGAGGUAGAAAGAAUGCAUGAAGCCACUCAAAUUCUUCCUCAGCAAGUUUCAAUGCAGAGAAAUAUGAGGCAGCAAUGUCCACAAACCGCAGUGGAAAUAUGAACUCGAAGUGUCAUGGCCUUCACCUCAGCAUUCAAGCAUAAAAAGCAACAGGCAGACACUCUCAGAGAACAGGAGAGACUAUAGCAGCCAGAAACAUGUCUUAAAAUUCUCACUGACAGUUACAUCCAGGCAAAGUGUAUCACAAGGGAAAGGAAACUAGAGGAGCCAGGAAUUCCAGGGCUGCCUGAAGAGGAUGGAGGAGGAAGAGGUCAUGAUGGAGCGGGGAAGAGGGUCCGGACCAGGGAGGAGAAGGGAGGGCUGAAAGAAAAGGAAGGAAGGAAGGAAAGAAGGAAGGAAGGAAGGAAGGAAGGAAGGAAGGAAGGAAGGAAAAGGAGACAGAGGAGGAGGGGUGGAGGAGGAAUCCUCAACAGCAGAGCAAUGCCUGUGGAAAGGCAGUUUUAAAGGGAAAACCACAUAUGUUUCAAGUUGUCCUUAAAAGAGAAAAAUCAAGAGAUUCAUCCAGGGGACCCUGUAAUCACAGCACUGCAGGAGGCUGAGGCAGGAGGAUUACAAAUUCAAGCCCAGCCUAGCUGGGCAAUUUAGCAAGAUGCUAAUUCAAAAAUAAAAGACAAGGGAUGCAACUCAGUGCAAAGGCCC